rnacentral:rRNA from 1 species
UAUAUCAGUGAUUAUCUGUUUGAUUGUAUARCCCAUUGGAUAACCGUGGGAAAUCUAGAGCUAAUACAUGCAAUUAAUUGGCRAUAUCGCAAGGUAUUGUCAAAGCAUUUAUUAGACUUAACCAUCUACUAUGUGGCAACACAUGGUAAGGCGAAUCUAGAUAACUUURCUGAUCGUAUGGCCUAGUGCCGACGACGUUUCAAUUGAGUUUCUGCCCUAUCAAUUUGUUGGUAAGGUAUUGGCUUACCAAGGUUGCAACGGGUAACGGGGAAUCAGGGUUCGAUUCCGGAGAGGGAGCCUGAGAAACGGCUACCACAUCCAAGGAAGGCAGCAGGCGCGCAAAUUACCCAAUCUAGACAGUAGGAGGUGGUGAAGAGAAGUACUGAGUGGUGGCCUUUUGGUUACCAACUUGGAAUGAACGUAAUUUAAGCAAUUCGAUGAGUAACUACUGGAGGGCAAGUCCUGGUGCCAGCAGCCGCGGUAAUUCCAGCUCCAGUGGCGUGAUUUAAAGUUGCUGCGUUUAAAACGCUCGUAGUUGGAUCACGCAGUAGUAUUCAGUUAUCUGAAUUUGGGCGAUGCUGACAUUAUUCUYCAUAGWUUAAUGAAUCUUUGCUAAUUCAGAUAAACCAGCUGAWUGCUACUAUUUGCACACAAGUAUGGUAUUUGGCCUUAAGUGAGUCGAGUAUCAUGYCUUGUGGAGUGUGCCUUGAAUAAAACAGAGUGCUCAAAGCAGGCGUAYGCUUGAAUGUUAUAGCAUGGAACGAACAAACGUGUAUUUGCACUUGUUAUUUGACAUUGGGGGCAACUUUGAUAUCGGAUACUUGUGCAGCACCCACCAAAAUACGGAUGUUGGUUUUCGUAUAAGGUGAUGAUUAACAGGAGCGGUUGGGGGCAUUGGUAUUUGGCCGCGAGAGGUGAAAUUCUUGGACCGGCCAAGGACUAACAGAUGCGAAGGCGUUUGUCUAGACCGUUUCCAUUAAUCAAGAACGAAAGUGGGAGGUUCGAAGACGAUCAGAUACCGUCCUAGUUCCCACUAUAAACUAUGCCGACCUGGGAUCAGUUUAGUGAUUUACAAGCUCUAGGUUGGUCCCCCUGGGAAACCUCAAGUUUUUCGGUUACGGGGAGAGUAUGGUCGCAAGUCUGAAACUUAAAGGAAUUGACGGAAGGGCACCACCAGGGGUGGAGCCUGCGGCUUAAUUUGACUCAACACGGGGAAACUUACCUGGUCCGGACAUSGAAAGGAUAGACAGACUAAUAGAUCUUACUUGAUGCGGUGAGUGGUGGUGCAUGGCCGUUCUUAGUUCGUGGAGUGAUCUGUCAGGUUUAUUCCGGUAACGAACGAGACCACCUUCUCCAUUUAAGAGGCAGUAGCAGGGUUCUGGCUUUUUGGUAUUUCGGUAUUAAUCGGUUGGGAUUCAUAGAUAAAGUUAUCUAAUUUCAUUAUUUAGAUAUAAUGGGUGGCAACACUUGUUGUAUUUGGGUAGUGAAAGGAUGUAAUUUUCCCUACUGUAAUGCAGCGUUGGGUAACACCUAUACGUUGCCUUAUGGAGAGACAACAGGUAUAUCAAAGCCUGAGGAAGUGUGGCUAUAACAGGUCMRGUGAUGCCCUUCGA